rnacentral:tRNA from 2 species
GCAGCCGUGGCCGAGCGGUUAAGGCGAUGGACUCGAAAUCCAUUGGGGUCUCCCCGCACAGGUUCGAAUCCUGUCGGCUGCG